GACGACCGCUGGCGGCGUGCUUAACACAUGCAAGUCGAACGGAAAGGCCCUGCUUUUGUGGGGUGCUCGAGUGGCGAACGGGUGAGUAACACGUGAGUAACCUGCCCUUGACUUUGGGAUAACUUCAGGAAACUGGGGCUAAUACCGGAUAGGAGCUCCUGCUGCAUGGUGGGGGUUGGAAAGUUUCGGCGGUUGGGGAUGGACUCGCGGCUUAUCAGCUUGUUGGUGGGGUAGUGGCUUACCAAGGCUUUGACGGGUAGCCGGCCUGAGAGGGUGACCGGCCACAUUGGGACUGAGAUACGGCCCAGACUCCUACGGGAGGCAGCAGUGGGGAAUAUUGCACAAUGGGCGGAAGCCUGAUGCAGCAACGCCGCGUGCGGGAUGACGGCCUUCGGGUUGUAAACCGCUUUCGCCUGUGACGAAGCGUGAGUGACGGGAAUGGGUAAAGAAGCACCGGCUAACUACGU
rnacentral:rRNA from 1 species